GUUUAUUUCAGUGUGUUUUAUCAGUAUUCACCAUCAAUAGACACCGAUGUCCUUAUAUACAACAGGAUACAAGGGAGAGAGAGAGUAGAGAUAGAGAGGAGAGAGUAGAGAGUAGAGAGAGAGAGAGUAGAGAUAGAGAGGAGAGAGUAGAGAGUAGAGAGAGAGAGUAGAGAGAAUUCACCAUCAAUAGACACCGAUGUCCUUAUAUACAACAGGAUACAAGGGAGAGAGAGAGGAGAGAGAGAGAGUAGAGAGUAGAGAGUAGAGAGAGAGAGAGUAGAGAGAGAGAGAGAGAGAGAGUAGAGAGUAGAGAGAGAGAGUAGAGAGUAGAGAGAGAGAGUAGAGAGAGAGAGUAGAGAGAGAGAGUAGAGAGUAGAGAGAGAAUCCACCAUCAAUAGACACUGAUGUCCUUAUGUACAACAGGAUAUAAGGGAGAGAGAGAGUAGAGAGAGAGAAGUAGAGAGAGAGAGUAGAGAGUAGAGAGAGAGAGUAGAGAGAGAGAGUAGAGAGAGAGAGUAGAGAGUAGAGAGAGAGAGUAGAGAGAGAAUUCACCAUCAAUAGACACUGAUGUCCUUAUGUACAACAGGAUACAAGGGAGAGAGAGUAGAGAGAGAGAGAGAGAAGAGAGAGAGUAGAGAGAGAGAGUAGAGAGAGA
ensembl:lncRNA